rnacentral:rRNA from 1 species
AUUGAACGCUGGCGGCAGGCCUAACACAUGCAAGUCGAACGAGUGGCGGACGGGUGAGUAAUGUCUGGGAACCUGCCCGAUAGCGGGGGAUAACUACUGGAAACGGUAGCUAAUACCGCAUACUAUCGGAUGUGCCCAUAUGGGAUUAGCUAGUGGGUGGGGUAACGGCUCACCUAGGCGACGAUCCCUAGCUGGUCUGAGAGGAUGACCAGCCACACUGGAACUGAGACACGGUCCAGACUCCUACGGGAGGCAGCAGUGGGGAAGUUUGGACAAUGGGGGAAAGCCUGAUGCAGCCAUGCCGCGUGUAUGAAGAAGGCCUUCGGGUUGUAAAGCACUUUUGGCAGGGAAGCGGUACCUGCAGAAUAAGCACCGGCUAACUACGUGCCAGCAGCCGCGGUAAUAC